UACGUAGGGUGCGAGCGUUGUCCGGAAUUAUUGGGCGUAAAGAGCUCGUAGGCGGCUUGUCACGUCGGUUGUGAAAGCCCGGGGCUUAACCCCGGGUCUGCAGUCGAUACGGGCAGGCUAGGGUUCGGUAGGGGAGAUCGGAAUUCCUGGUGUAGCGGUGAAAUGCGCAGAUAUCAGGAGGAACACCGGUGGCGAAGGCGGAUCUCUGGGCCGAUACUGACGCUGAGGAGCGAAAGCGUGGGGAGCGAACAGG
rnacentral:rRNA from 1 species